rnacentral:rRNA from 1 species
GGAGGGGGUUAGCGUUGUUCGGAAUUACUGGGCGUAAAGCGCACGUAGGCGGACUGGAAAGUUCGGGGGGUGAAAUCCCAGGGGCUCAACCCUGGGAACUGCCUCCAAAACUAUCAGUCUAGAGUUCGAGAGAGGUGAGUGGAAUUCCGAGUGUAGAGGUGAAAUUCGUAGAUAUUCGGAGGAACACCAGUGGCGAAGGCGGCUCACUGGCUCGAUACUGACGCUGAGGUGCGAAAGUGUGGGGAGCAAACAGGAUUAGAUACCCUGGUAGUCCACACCGUAAACGAUGAAUGCCAGUCGUCGGGCAGCAUGCUAUUCGGUGACACACCUAACGGAUUAAGCAUUCCGCCUGGGGAGUACGGUCGCAAGAUUA